GCCUCGCCGCGGGAGCCGCGCGGAAAGUUACUGCCUGCUAACGUGGCAGGAACGAUGGAAAGCCUGUGGCUGCCAAAUGCUGAAAUCCUGGGCCCAAGCAACAGAUCUGAAAAAGAAAGAUAACAAUGACCUGUGUGCUUGAGAAUCCAGAGGGACUGUCAGUGACAGAGCUCACUGGGUUCCCAGGAGGACUAAGAACAUGGUCCAACCAAUCUUGCCCUGACAACGUAGGAGUGGGCAGAGGAAGGCAUGAAGAAUGGCUGCCCUUCUACAUCUGAAGGUCAGAACAAGAGAUCCAGGAAUGUGUCUCUGUCAUUUGAAAGCUACAGCCUUUGAACCCCCCAAAGGGAAAAACAAGAAACAAGGAGCAAGUGUGUUGGCCCCAUGCUGAGUAUGAUGAAGCGUGCCACACAGGACCUUGGUUUUCCACCUCCCUUCCCACAUGCAAACUUUCUGAUCCUGAGACAUCGGCAUGGGUUGAAGGGACUCUGUGGCACCUGAACAGCCAGUUAGAAGGUGGGCAACCCAGGUGACUUGGCAAGACCUGCUUGCAAACACCGGUUAUGAGCUCAUUCGCAAGAGAAGCCGACUGGGGGCAAGUUAACUUGUGUCACUCUUUGGAUUUAAUGGAAGGUUGUUAUGUUUUAUAUGAACCUCAUCAUCCAAAUAUGCACCCUAUUGUAAAUGGAACAGAUGGUCAACAGGCACCUGCUGCAUAGCACAGGGAAAAUUGCCCAAUAUUCUGUGAUAACCUGUAUGGGAAAAAAA
rnacentral:lncRNA from 1 species